CAAUAGCGUAUAUUAAAGUUGUUGCAGUUAAAAAGCUCGUAGUUGGACUUCUGGCUUGGUGAGGUGGUCCGCCGCAAGGUGUGCACUGUUUUGUCGAGCCUUCUUCUCGUAGUUGGUGGGUGCACUUAACUGGGCGCCUAUUGAAUAUGGGACCUUUACUUUGAAAAAUUAGAGUGUUCAAAGCAGGCCUUCGCUUGAAUACAUUAGCAUGGAAUAAUAGAAUAGGACUUUGGUUCUAUUUUGUUUGGUUUCUAGGACCGAAGUAAUGAUUAAUAGGGACAUUGGGGGCGAUUAGUAUUUAAUUUGUCAGAGGUGAAAUUACUUGGAUUUAUGAAAGACUAACUACUGCGAAAGCAUUUGUCCAAGGAUGUUUUUCUAUUAAUCAAGAACGAAAGUUAAGGGGAGUCGAAGACGAUUAGA
rnacentral:rRNA from 1 species